GAAGGCCUCUGGGCUGUAAACCUCUUUUAUCAAGGAAGAAGAUCUGACGGUACUUGAUGAAUAAGCCACGGCUAAUUCCGUGCCAGCAGCCGCGGUAAUACGGGAGUGGCAAGCGUUAUCCGGAAUUAUUGGGCGUAAAGCGUCCGCAGGCGGUCUGUCAAGUCUGCUGUUAAAGCGUGGAGCUUAACUCCAUUUCGGCAGUGGAAACUGACAGACUAGAGUGUGGUAGGGGCAGAGGGAAUUCCCGGUGUAGCGGUGAAAUGCGUAGAUAUCGGGAAGAACACCAGUGGCGAAGGCGCUCUGCUGGGCCAUAACUGACGCUCAUGGACGAAAGCCAGGGGAGCGAAAGGGAUUAGAUACCCCUGUAGUCA
rnacentral:rRNA from 1 species